rnacentral:rRNA from 1 species
AUGGCUCAGGAUGAACGCUAGCGGCAGGCUAACACAUGCAAGUCGAGGGGCAGCGCGAGUAGCAAUACUUGGCGGCGACCGGCGCAAGGGUGCGUAACGCGUGAGCAACAUGCCCGUAUCAGGGGGAUAAUCCAGGGAAACUUGGUCUAAUACCCCAUAGUAAUUUUGUAAGGCAUCUUAUAAGAUUUAAAGCUUUGGUGGAUACGGAUUGGCUCGCGUGACAUUAGCUGGAUGGUAAGGUAACGGCUUACCAUGGCUAUGAUGUCUAGGGGUUCUGAGAGGAAGGUCCCCCACACUGGAACUGAGACACGGUCCAGACUCCUACGGGAGGCAGCAGUGAGGAAUAUUGGACAAUGGAUGGAAAUCUGAUCCAGCCAUGCCGCGUGAAAAGGAAGAAGGUCCUAUGGAUUGUAAACUUCUUUUGUAUGGGAGCAAUAAGGCCUACGAGUAGGUUGAUGAGAGUACCAUACGAAUAAGCACCGGCUAACUCCGUGCCAGCCGCGGC